UACAGAGGUCUCAAGCGUUGUUCGGAUUCAUUGGGCGUAAAGGGUGCGUAGGCGGCGGGGUAAGUUUGAUGUGAAAUCCCGGGGCUCAACCCUGGAAUUGCAUUGAAUACUACCUUGCUAGAGUACCGGAGAGGAAACUGGAAUUUACGGUGUAGCAGUGAAAUGCGUAGAGAUCGUAAGGAAGACCAGUGGCGAAGGCGGGUCUCUGGACAGUUCCUGACGCUGAGGCACGAAGGCUAGGGGAGCAAACGGG
rnacentral:rRNA from 1 species